rnacentral:lncRNA from 1 species
CGUGUGUGCCAAAUUAUGACCAUUUCUUUAUAGAACCUGGUGAAUGAGUUCCUGUUUUCAAAAAGGGAUACCCUUUUUGAAAGAGCCUCCUGAAUGCUGAGUUCCCCUCACUGAGCAGCUGUGUGUUCCUGGACAAGACCUUAGCAGAUGGGAGAUUGGGUGUCAGAACACAUCUGCAGGUUGAGUUGAAAGUGAAUGCAGGUCAUCACCAUAAUCAUGGAGCAACAUAAGGAGAUGAUGAGAGGAUAGAGAGCUUUUCACUUCUUGGCCCACAAUUUAACUCUUAUCCUGAUGCGCAGACUGAGAGUGCUUCCUGGUCACAGUUCAUGUGAAAGUAGUUGGUGGAUGUCUCUAUGCCAUCUCAGAAGAGUCAUGAUUACAAAAGGUAUUCCUUGCAAAAAAGAGACCAACAAGAGGCCCAAGAGUUUACAUCAGUGCCUAUUAAAGACAGUGUGACUCCUUUCAGUGAAAGCAAGUUAAGUAUUGUAUCACACUGUUAAGCAAUGAAAAGAGAGGCUGGCCUUCUCACCUCCAUGGACAAUUUCUUCACAAGGUUUGGUAAAGAAAGAGGCAAUGGCAGGAGCCAUUCAUUGGCAGGUGCAGACCAGCAGGAGAAGGAGCAUGCUGUGACUUCUGCCACUUCUCCAGUGCAUGGGAAUGCAGCACAAGUAGUAUCCUGCACAUACCAAAACAAAGAAACAGAGGACAGAGGUAUCACAUAGCAUGGAGCUGUCAGUCUGCUGGCCCCAAAAUAGAAGUGCUACCUGAAGUGUUAAUACAGACCUUGCUGUCAGAUAUGUACACAUUUCAUCUCAGUGCCAGAAGACUGCAUCCUUGUGACAUCCCAGUGGGAUGUGAGCGGGGAGAGCUAAACCUCAUUUUACAGAAAGAGGAUGAGGCACCAGGCAAAUUAAGAGACUUGCCUGAGAUGGGAGCAUCAGCCCACAAAACUUAUAACUCCAC